rnacentral:lncRNA from 1 species
UUCGAGCGUGGAGCGACCCUGAGAAUCGCAGUCGGUUUCCGCGGAGAAGAGCUACUGGUUACCGCACUUCCAAGUACGUGAGCAAGGUCGGACUCUAUUAGGAUGGAAAGGGCAAGGGCAGCUGGGGAAGAGGUCUGCUCGCAGGGCCGGGUUGCGGCGCUCCCGACUCCGGGCCUCUGGUCCCGCCAGGGGGCUGCACUGAAGCUGGGCCUCGGCCACGAAGGCGAAGCCGGAGACGGCCGUGUCCCUCCGCUCAGGGCCUCGGGACCGGCCCCGGGCAGCACCGGCGGGAAAGGCCGCCGGGAAGUGCUGCAGCCCCACCCUCCGUCCAGGCGGACCCAGGCCGCGGCGGAUGGGGCGACGAGAGAGGUCCCGCAGGGCAGCGGCAGGCGCGGUUCCGGGCUUCCGGCCUGGGGGCUUCCGGCCUCCGCGAUUCCGGCCUCCGGGCGUCGUCGCUCCGCAGAGGGCGCCCUAAGGUCACCGGCAGGGCCAGGCGUGGCCGGGCCGCUUCUGCGGAGCCAACCCGGCUCAGCCUCCCGCUGCUGGAUCCGAGUCCGGGCCCGCCCUUCCUCCGCAAGCCUUCCUGGCCAUGUCAGCCUCACGGGCCAAAAACCGGAUACUGGAACGAAAGACAAGACUUAAGAGAGGAUGAGAAAGAUAAAUUCUGAACAACAAAACCAAGCAAGGAGCCAGGCAAGAACAGCGACUGCGAUGGGCCAAGCUUCUGAAAUAAAGAACAAACUUACCAGCUGGAGUUUGAAGAACUGAAUUGCACUGAAGUGUGGGAGAUUGGCAGGUCGGUCGGUCGGCAGGAUGCCUGGGAAUGCUAGAAUUCCUGUAGUGACCAGGACACACCCAAGAGAGACACCCAGCUGUAAUCAGAGGCCAGCAAGGGUGCAUCCCUGGAGUGAGGCUUGAACCAGUGCUGGAUCAAACCCAGGACCAGGCACAUAUCUGGAGGAAGUCAUGGAGCAGGAGGGCAGGACGCCUGCAGUGCGGGCUGAGGCAAAGAUGGGUGAAAUCCAGCAAUCAGCACCUGGGCUCAGCUGUACUCCGGAGCUCAGGGAACUCACAGAGGGGAAGCAGAAUAUGGAUGUAUGCUUGCGGAGCGACACAUGUGCACAUUUAUCAUUUUUCUUAGAUGUAUACUUUAUCUGUGAAGUGCUUAUUUCAAAAGUAAAUUGACUUCCUUUUAUUA